CCCCCCGUAGGCAGCAGUGGGGAAUAUUGGGCAAUGGGCGCAAGCCUGACCCAGCACCGCCGCGUGAAGGAAGAAGGCUUUCGGGUUGUAAACUUCUUUUCUCAGGGACGAAGCAAGUGCCGGUACCUGAGGAAUAAGCCACGGCUAACUACGUGCCAGCAGCCGCGGUAAUACGUAGGUGGCAAGCGUUAUCCGGAUUUACUGGGGGUAAAGGGCGUGUAGGCGGGACUGCAAGUCAGAUGUGAAAACCACGGGCUCAACCUGUGGCCUGCAUUUGAAACUGUAGUUCUUGAGUACUGGAGAGGCAGACGGAAUUCCUAGUGUAGCGGUGAAAUGCGUAGAGAUUAGGAGGAACACCAGUGGCGAAGGCGGUCUGCUGGACAGCAACUGACGCUGAGGCGCGAAAGCGUGGGGAGCAAACAGGAUUAGAUACCCCAGUAGUC
rnacentral:rRNA from 1 species